rnacentral:rRNA from 1 species
UACGGGGGGAGCAAGCGUUGUUCGGAUUUACUGGGCUUAAAGGGCGCGUAGGCGGGCCUGAAAGUCAGGGGUGAAAGCCCCCAGCUCAACUGGGGAAGUGCCUCUGAUACUUCAGGCCUCGAGGGAGGUAGGGGCGUGCGGAACUUCCGGUGGAGCGGUGAAAUGCGUAGAUAUCGGAAGGAACACCGGUGGCGAAAGCGGCGCGCUGGACCUCUUCUGACGCUGAGGCGCGAAAGCCAGGGGAGCGAACGGG